rnacentral:rRNA from 1 species
AAUAUUUACCCACAUCUAAAACCGCCAGGGAAUUACAAGCCCCCACUUAAAACCCAAGGAACUUGACGGUGUCCCAUCCACCUAGAGGAGCCUGUUCUAUAAUCGACACCCCACGAUACACCUUACCACCCCUAGCACAAUCAAUCAGUCUGUAUACCUCCGUCGCAAGCUUACCAUGUGAACGUCACCCGUGAGCUAAAAGAUUGACCCCCACCAACACGUCAGGUCAAGGUGCAACUAACGGAGUGGAAAGCAAUGGGCUACAAUUUCUACCAUAGAACAUACAAAAACUGCAUGAAACACAGCCACCAAGGCGGAUUUAGAAGUAAAAAGAAAAUAGAGAGUUCUUUUUAACUCGGCCCUGGGACGCGUACACACCGCCCGUCACCCUCCUCACAUCUACUAAGAGGAGGCAAGUCGUAACACGGUAAGCGUACUGGAAAGUGCGCUUGGACAACAAAAUGUAGCUUAACCAAAGCAUCUCGCUUACACCGAAAUAGACGUCAGCAAUUUUCUGACCAUUUUGAGCCCAAAUCCCAGCCCCCAACCCAACCAAACCAAACAGCAAAUAAACAAA